UACGGAGGGUGCAAGCGUUAUCCGGAUUCAUUGGGUUUAAAGGGUGCGUAGGCUGGGCGGUAAGUCAGUGGUGAAAUCCUGCAGCUUAACUGUAGAAUUGCCAUUGAUACUGCCGUCCUUGAGUGCGCUCGACGUGGGCGGAAUGUGCCGUGUAGCGGUGAAAUGCUUAGAGAUCAGGAAGAACAUCGGUGGCGAAGGCGCUCUGCUGGACCAUAACUGACACUCAGGGACGAAAGCUAGGGGAGCGAAUGGG
rnacentral:rRNA from 1 species